rnacentral:rRNA from 1 species
UACGAAGGGGGCUAGCGUUGCUCGGAAUCACUGGGCGUAAAGCGCACGUAGGCGGAUUGCUAAGUCAGGGGUGAAAUCCUGGAGCUCAACUCCAGAACUGCCUUUGAUACUGGCGAUCUCGAGUCCGGGAGAGGUGAGUGGAACUGCGAGUGUAGAGGUGAAAUUCGUAGAUAUUCGCAAGAACACCAGUGGCGAAGGCGGCUCACUGGCCCGGUACUGACGCUGAGGCGCGAAAGCUAGGGGAGCGAACAGG